GACGAACGCUGGCGGCGUGCUUAACACAUGCAAGUCGAACGGGCCUGUCUUCUUUUUUGGGGGUGGGUUGAGUGGCGAACGGGUGAGUAUCACGUGAGUAACCUGCCCUUCGGUCCUGGAUAACCGCUUGAAAGGGCGGCUAAUACGGGGUGGUCCGGUUGGUCCGCAUGGGCUGGUCGGGAUAGAUUCACUGUUUUUGGUGUUUCGGCGGGGGAUGGGCUCGCGGCCUAUCAGCUUGUUGGUGGGGUGAUGGCCUACCAAGGCGGUGACGGGUAGCCGGGCGGAGAGGGUGGGAGGCCAGACUGGGACUGAGAUACGGCCCAGACUCCUGCGGGAGGCAGCAGUGGGGGGUAUUGCACAAGGGGCGGAAGCCGGAUGCAGCGACGUCGCGUGAGGGAUGGAGGCCUUCGGGUUGUGAACCUCUGUUUCCGGUGGUGAAGGCCCUGUCCGUGUGGUGGGGUUGACGGUAGCCGGGGAUGAAGCGCCGGCUAACUACGUG
rnacentral:rRNA from 1 species